rnacentral:RNase_P_RNA from 1 species
GAGGAAAGUCCGGGCAACACAGAGCAACUCACUUCCUAACGGGAAGGCUCCGCUCAGGCGGAGACAGCAAGUGCCACAGAAAAUAUACCGCCUUGUCUUCGGACAGGGUAAGGGUGAAAACGUGAGGUAAGAGCUCACGGUAUUGCAUGGCGACAUGGAUUACGGUAAACCUUGAGUGUUGAAAGACCAAAUAGGUUACGAAACUCGAAGGCUGCUCGUCUUCUUUUACUUCGGUAAGAUUCGUAAUGGGUAGGUUGAUGGAGUCUGUCAGCAAUGGCAGAUCUAGAUAAAUGAUAGAAAACCGAUUUUUCGGUGUACAGAACCCGGCUUA